rnacentral:rRNA from 1 species
UACGUAAGGGGUGCGACGUUAGCGUGAAUUACUGGGCGUAAAGCGCACGUAGGCGGCUUUCUAAGUCGGGGGUGAAAUCCUGGAGCUCAACUCCAGAACUGCCUUCGAUACUGGAAAGCUCGAGUCCGGGAGAGGUGAGUGGAACUGCGAGUGUAGAGGUGAAAUUCGUAGAUAUUCGCAAGAACACCAGUGGCGAAGGCGGCUCACUGGCCCGGUACUGACGCUGAGGUGCGAAAGCGUGGGGAGCAAACAGG